rnacentral:snRNA from 1 species
AACUCUACAUCCGAACAAAGAAA